AUCCCCCCGACCCCUUAAUCCCUUCCCCGCGCCGCCGCCGUCUCGGAGCAUCGCACGGCAGCAAGCCCGUCGCCCCCCACCGCCGCACAGCGACCUCAGCCACUCCGGCCAGGAUGGUCGCGUUCAGUUCCACCAGUACCAGGUGGUCGGGAGGGGCCUGCCGACGCCGACCGAGGAGCAUCCCAGGAUCUACCGCAUGAAGCUCUGGGCCACCAACGAGGUCCGCGCCUAGUCCAAGUUCUGGUGAGGAAUUUACGAUUCGAAUCUGGAAGCCUCUCGAGAAUGCGUGAAGAAGAGCAACGGCCAGAUCCUCGCCUUCAACGAGAUUUUUGGUAUUCUGGUUGCCUUACCAAAGAAGGACUGGAUACAACAUGUACAAGGAGUACCGUGACACCACCCUUAAUGGCGCCGUCGAGCAGAUGUACACGGAGAUGGCUUCCCGCCACCGUGUCAGGCCCCCCUGCAUCCAGAUCAUCAAGACGGCCACUGUCCACUUCAACAUCUGCAGGCGUGAUAACACUAAGCAGUUUCACAGGUCGGACAUCAAGUUCCCGCUGGUCUACCAGAAGGUCAGGCCACCAAACAGGAAGCUGAAGACGGCCUUCAAGGCCUCGAGGCCAAACUUGUUCACGUGAUAAGUCAUCCGCUCAUAACCUGUAAGCCCGUCCAUUAUGAAGCAUCAUUGCUAGUUCAUAUUAAUAGUAUUGAUAUGCAACAUUUUCUUAUUCUUAAUUCUAGAUAGCAGUUCCGCGUAGUGCCCUUUAUGGGCUUGACAACCCUUUGUUUAAUCUUUGUAACAUUUGUGGUUAUAUGACUGCCUGAUUCGAGUACCUUAACUCUCUUUUUGCUCCAAUGUUGUUUAUCUGAAUA